rnacentral:rRNA from 1 species
AACGAACGCUGGCGGCAUGCCUAACACAUGCAAGUCGAACGAGACCUUCGGGUCUAGUGGCGCACGGGUGCGUAACGCGUGGGAACCUGCCCUUAGGUUCGGAAUAACUCCCCGAAAGGGGUGCUAAUACCGGAUAAUGUCUUCGGACCAAAGAUUUAUCGCCUUUGGAUGGGCCCGCGUUGGAUUAGCUAGUUGGUAGGGUAAAAGCCUACCAAGGCGACGAUCCAUAGCUGGUCUGAGAGGAUGAUCAGCCACACUGGGACUGAGACACGGCCCAGACUCCUAAGGGAGGCAGCAGUGGGGAAUAUUGGACAAUGGGCGAAAGGCUGAUCCAGCCAUGCCGCGUGAGUGAUGAAGGCCUUAGGGUUGUAAAGCUCUUUUACCCGGGAUGAUAAUGACAGUACCGGGAGAAUAAGCUCCGGCUAACCCCGUG